UCUCAAGUGCUCCGAUUGGGUCGAAAAAAGGAGCAUGGAGUAUUCUUUUGGACCCCAAAACUCCCUCCCUCUAAGUCUUGCACCCGCAUUUACUCUCUUCCCAUCUCAAUUCCUUCGUUGAACUUGAACCCCUCUCUCAAUCUCUGUCCUUUCAUCUUCUUUCUUCCAUUCAUGGGGGUCCCCUCUCCGGUUCCCAGGGUUGUGACGGAAACAACCAACAAACCAAAACCCAUCCCGAUUCCCUCGUCACUCUCGUAUCGCUCAUUCACACAUCGUCCUCUUCCCAAGACCCAACUCAAAACCCUAAUGCGAGAGCAGACAACGUCACGGCGGACAACCGCCAUGACUCCUUGAUGAUGGAGUGACAGACACAACCAGCAUCCUCUUCUCCUUCUCUCACGGUGGCAGGUUUAGGUUUUGAUCUUCUCUUUGUUGUCGAAAUUGUACCUGCGCAAUCAUCUGACCUUUACCUGCGUUUUCUGCAUAAGAUGCUAGAGAUUGGCAAAGAUGUUGCAACCCAAUAUGUGGAGGGUUAGGAUUGGAUGACUCCUAUCAGGUGACUCUCUGUCUUUUUUUUUUCUUUACUUUGAAUUCAUAAUUAGCGGCUUUGCUUGCUUUGGAAUUAGAGGCAGAUCUCCUUAUUUUUUUGAGUGAUGUCGACGGCCUUUACAGUGGUCCACCAAGCGACCCCCAAUCUAAACUUAUCCACACAUAUGUUAAAGAGAAGCAUCAGACAGAAAUAACUUUUGGAGAUAAGUCUAGAUUGGGCUGAGGGGUAUGACAGCCAAAGUAAAAGAAGCUGUUUAUGCUGCCAAUGCUGGAAUCCUUGUAAUUAUAGCUAGGUGCGGCUCUAUGUAAUUCGUUUGUUUUGGAUGCCUAAUGGCCCUUUGUUUCUGGUUCGAUUUUAUUACUACUUGUCCAAUUCAGUGUCAUUAUUGAUUUAGUCACUUUCUAUUUUAGGUGUCUUUAAAGCAUAUGUCAUGCUUGUUUCAAUGUAUUUAUGGUAUUGUUGUACUGAUUAUGGUGUAUGCGAUCCAGUUUUUUGCAAUGUUACUUUGGUUUAGACAUUGUUCCCAUGUUAUGAAUUUGCAGCAAACUUUCA